GUUGUCUGGGGAAGCAAAACUGCUCCUCGAGACUGGUGUUUGUCCUUCGCCACCCCCUCCAGUCCAGAGAAGUUGAGAAAACCCCUCUUUAUUCAUCUGUACUGGACCGGAACCUGCCUCUUUUACAGGGACAUCUGCGCGAUGUGAUCUAAAGAAAAAAUGUGAACCCAUUAUUUCAGUCGUUGUUCUUCCUCUCCAUUUUGGCCCUCUAUCUAAGCUUUUGUUUACGUCGAGUGACACUAUUACAGGCCUACUCCGUUAGCAGCAAUACUUUGAAAAAGACCAACUUCAAGAACUGGAACAUAACCAAAGAAGUUUAAGUUUACUAUCACCGUUACUGUUACGAAAGUUUUGGUGCCGCCAGAGCGUCCAGCAGCGGCUGCAGGCACCAUGCCAGGUGAGAUUGAACCAAACCCUGCCCUCUUCCCAUGGAGGUAAGAGCAUGACCGAGCCAAAAUGGUGGCACCUAGGCCCCAGUCUUCGCCAGACAGAACCAACAUGGCUGCCGUAACACUACAAGGGGGUAUUGGAUAUCCCUGACUGAGAGAGAGACAGAAGGAGGAGCCAAAUUCCUGCUUUUAGAUGAAGAAGGGGUGGGGGGGCUGUCUAAUGGAAGUCUGCUGAGACUCCAAGUCAAUUAUUCAGCCAGAAAGUAGAGGAGGAGGAGGAUCUGGAGAGAGUGGGGUAUUGACUUGGGUAAUAACCUCUGGUCCGUCAGCAGCAGCCAGCGCCCUGAGACCGUGCUGAGACCAGACGCGGAGGUGGGAGGGAGGAAGGGGGGGUGUUGGCCAAGAUCCUAGACAUCCUCUCAGAGCAAAAGGUUAGCGUCAAUCCCCUGCCGCAUCAGGUAUAAAUAGCGUCUCUCGUCUCCAGAUGGCAGUCAAGAAGGGGAUUUGUGUGUAAAGAUGUUUAUGCGUAUACUGGUUGCGUGUUGAUUUUGAGCAUUUGAGCGUGUUGAAUUUGUGAGUGUAAAUGAUUCAGAAGGCUCAGUUCAGAUAAGGUGAGGUAACAGGCCUUCUUGUUCUGUUGGCCCGUAGUGGAGACUGCAUAAAUUGUCACAACAAUUGUGUAAUAGAAAUUAGACAAUGACACUUAUACAAAUGAACAAAACAGUAAAAAGUACUGUAAUGUACUGUAGACAAAUAUUAAAAAUGUCUAUAAUUUUGUUUGCUAAUUAUAAUGCCUGAAUGUUAUACAUGUGAUGAUUUUGUCCAUAACUCUUUAAUUUAGUUACCUUGACCUUAAGAUUACACAGAUCACUGGGGGGAAAUCUGUUGGUAAUACCUGCUAUCAGAACUAAACAUGGCGGAGCAACUUUUAGCUAUGCUGCUCAGCUCUGGAACCAACCUCCUGAUGACAUCAAAGGUUCUCCAAAUAUAGCCAGCUUCAGAUGUAGACUCAAAACCCAUCUCUUCUCCAAUUCUUUUUGUCCACUGAUUUAAUGCACUGUACUUUUUAUUUUUUUAUGGCUUUAGUUGAUUUUUCAUGCUCCUUCCUUUUUAAUAGUUUAAUUUUAUGGUCUGUUCACUGUUUUAAUGCGUUUAACCUUUUUUAAUCUCUUAUUUCUUCUAUGUUCUUUUAUCUGGUCAUUUGUAAAUCACUCUGAAUUACCCAUCUGCAUGAAUUGUGCAAUAUAAAUAAAAUGGCCCUGCUGAACACA